rnacentral:rRNA from 1 species
CCCUAUGGGGUGCAGCAGGCGCGAAACCUCCGCAAUGCACGCAAGUGCGACGGGGGGACCCCCAAGUGCCACUCUUAACGGGGUGGCUUUUCAGGAGUGUAAAAAGCUCCUGGAAUAAGGGCUGGGCAAGACCGGUGCCAGCCGCCGCGGUAACACCGGCAGCUCGAGUGGUAGCCGCGUUUAUUGGGCCUAAAGCGUCCGUAGCCGGUCCGAUAAGUCUCUGGUGAAAGCCCACAGCUCAACUGUGGGAAUCGCUGGAGAUACUAUCGGACUUGAGGCCGGGAGAGGCUGGAGGUACUCCCAGGGUAGGGGUGAAAUCCUAUAAUCCUGGGAGGACCACCUGUGGCGAAGGCGUCCAGCUGGAACGGACCUGACGGUGAGGGACGAAAGCCAGGGGCGCGAACCGGAUUAGAUACCCGGGUAGUCCUGGCCGUAAACGAUGCGGACUUGGUGUUGGGAUGGCUUUGAGCUGUCCCAGUGCCGAAGGGAAGCUGUUAAGUCCGCCGCCUGGGAAGUACGGCCGCAAGGCUGAAACUUAAAGGAAUUGGCGGGGGAG